rnacentral:rRNA from 1 species
GAUGAACGCUGGCGGCGUGCCUAAUACAUGCAAGUCGAGCGAACGGACGAGAAGCUUGCUUCUCUGAUGUUAGCGGCGGACGGGUGAGUAACACGUGGAUAACCUACCUAUAAGACUGGGAUAACUUCGGGAAACCGGAGCUAAUACCGGAUAAUAUUUUGAACCGCAUGGUUCAAAAGUGAAAGACGGUCUUGCUGUCACUUAUAGAUGGAUCCGCGCUGCAUUAGCUAGUUGGUAAGGUAACGGCUUACCAAGGCAACGAUGCAUAGCCGACCUGAGAGGGUGAUCGGCCACACUGGAGCUGAGACACGGUCCAGACUCCUACGAGAGGCAGCAGUAGGGAAUCUUCCGCAAUGGGCGAAAGCCUGGCGGAGCAACGCCGCGUGAGUGAUGAAGGUCUUCGGAUCGUAAAACUCUGUUAUUAGGGAAGAACAUAUGUGUAAGUAACUGUGCACAUCUUGACGGUACCUAAUCAGAAAGCCACGGCUAACUACGUG